UACGGAGGGUGCAAGCGUUAUCCGGAUUCACUGGGUUUAAAGGGUGCGUAGGUGGGUCUGUAAGUCAGUGGUGAAAUCUCCAAGCUUAACUUGGAACUGCCGUUGAUACUAUAGACCUUGAAUGUUGUGGAGGUGAGCGGAAUAUGUCAUGUAGCGGUGAAAUGCUUAGAUAUGACAUAGAACACCAAUUGCGAAGGCAGCUCACUACCCAGAUAUUGACACUGAGGCACGAAAGCGUGGGGAUCAAACAGG
rnacentral:rRNA from 1 species